GGUGUCCUCUGCUGUCACUGUGACAGCUAUUUGGUAAAAUAAGCUUCCAGCAAAUGAAAAGUCAUCAACAUCACAAGUUGCACAUAAGGAGAUUCUGUGUUAGGUGAAUAAUCCUUAUGGAGGUAGCUUUGGUUUUUCAAACUAAAUGAUCUUAGUCUUUCCCUACUAAGUACACACUCUGAUAGAGCAAGAUGAAAAGUCAUCAACAUCACAAGUUGGACAUGAGGAGAUUCUGUGUUAGGUGAAUAAUCCUUAUAGAGGUAGCUUUGGUUUUUCAAACUAAAUGAUCUUAGUCUUUCCCUACUAAGUACACACUCUGAUAGAGCAAGAUGCUUCAUGGUCACUACAUAUUUGAUCACUACAGGUAACGAAGAAAACUGGUUCCCUUUAGAUUUAUUGUAUUUUUUGCAUCUUUAGCAGAGGCAAUCAUAUUGCUGGUUUUAGCGUUGCGUUUCGGAUAUGAAUAGUGUUUAUCGGUUCUACUUUUGGUAUUUAUUUGAUUGGGGUCUGAAAGUCCUCACAUAUUGAAGAUUUGACUUUCACAGUUAAGGUGUGUUUUAUAUGGGGUUCCUUGCGAAUCCAAAUCUUGGCAUUAUAGGAAAGGUUUCUAGGCAUCCAUGCUUAGAUUACUU
rnacentral:lncRNA from 1 species